rnacentral:rRNA from 1 species
UCAAGGCUUAGUAAACCAUUGCAAACUCCGAAUACCAGAAAGUAUGAGCGCGGCAGACACACUGCGGGUGCUAACGUCCGUAGUGGAAAGGGAAACAACCCAGACCGUCAGCUAAGGUCCCAAAAUUAUAGUUAAGUGGGAAACGAUGUGAAAAGGCCCAGACAGCCAGGAGGUUGGCUUAGAAGCAGCCAUUCCUUUAAAGAGUGCGUAAUAGCUCACUGGUCGAGUCGGUUUGCGCGGAAGAUUUAACGGGGCUAAACUAUAUACCGAAGCUGCGGAUCGCAAUUUAUUGCGAUGGUAGGAGAGCGUUCUGUAAGCCGUUGAAGGUGAACUGUGAGGUUUGCUGGAGGUAUCAGAAGUGCGAAUGCUGACAUGAGUAACGAUAAGGGGAGUGAAAAGCUCCCCCGCCGGAAGACCAAGGUUUCCUAUCCAAUGCUAAUCAGGGUAGGGUGAGUCGGCCCCUAAGGCGAGGCUGAAGAGCGUAGUCGAUGGGAAGCAGGUUAAUAUUCCUGCACCACUCAAUAUUGCGAAGGAGGGACGGAGAAGGCUAGUCCAGCGCGGCGUUGGUUGUCCGCGUUUAAGCGUGUAGGCUUAAAUGUUAGGUAAAUCCGGGAUUUUUUAAGGCUGAGGCGUGAUGACGAGGUCCAUUAGGACUGAAGUGGUUGAUGCCAUGCUUCCAGGAAAAGCUUCUAAGCAUCAGAUAUUGAGUGACCGUACCCCAAACCGACACAGGUGGUCAGGUAGAGAAUACCAAGGCGCUUGAGAGAACUCGGGUGAAGGAACUAGGCAAAAUGGUACCGUAACUUCGGGAGAAGGUACGCCGCUGAUGGUGAUGGGACUUGCUCCCUAAGCUGAGGAGAGUCGAAGUGACCAGGUGGCUGCAACUGUUUAUUAAAAACAUAGCACUCUGCAAACUCGUGAGAGGAAGUAUAGGGUGUGACGCCUGCCCGGUGCCGGAAGGUUAAUUGAUGGGGUUAUCUUCGGAGAAGCUCUUGAUCGAAGCCCCGGUAAACGGCGGCCGUAACUAUAACGGUCCUAAGGUAGCGAAAUUCCUUGUCGGGUAAGUUCCGACCUGCACGAAUGGCGUAACGAUGGCCACACUGUCUCCACCCGAGACUCAGUGAAAUUGAAAUUGCGGUUAAGAUGCCGUAUACCCGCGGCUAGACGGAAAGACCCCGUGAACCUUUACUAUAGCUUCACACUGGACUCUGACUUUACUUGUGUAGGAUAGCUGGGAGGCUUUGAAGCGAUGGCGCUAGCUGUUGUGGAGCCAACCUUGAAAUACCAGCCUGGUAACGUUGGGGUUCUAACCUAGGUCCAUUAUCUGGAUUGGGGACAGUGUGUGGUGGGUAGUUUGACUGGGGCGGUCUCCUCCCAAAGAGUAACGGAGGAGCACGAAGGUGCGCUAAGCAUGGUCGGAAAUCAUGCGGUUAGUGUAAUGGCAUAAGCGUGCUUGACUGCGAGUCUGACAAGACGAGCAGGUACGAAAGUAGGUCAUAGUGAUCCGGUG